rnacentral:lncRNA from 1 species
AUUUUACUUUUGGAAAGACUUCAUGAUUCAAAAAAUAAAAAUAUUGAAGUACUGUGUCCAAAUGUCCAAAAUGUCAUUCCUUUUUAAUGAAUUAGUUGCCAUCACAGAUACGCCACUAAAUAGCCAAAAUUACAUUACCAGUAGCAGAAUUCCGCUACUACUAGUAACACGGAGUAUACUUUUUUUGCUACUCUAUGCUCCUUUUCAAUCAUUGAGAUUACUAAGAGGUGGACUGGUUCCAACCAUGAGCUGCACCUAUAUCCAUGAUGGGAGACUAACUGGUAAAGGACAGGGAUUGCUGGGCUAGGCCUAGAACCCCCAAAAAAAUACUUUUUAAGGUUCUAGGCCAAGCCGGUGUGUUGCACAUGAGGACCUGUGUUUGCAUCAUCCUGUGUGGCACACCUACGUGUUACCAUGCAACCAUCCAGCCAUCGUACAUGGAGCGUAUUACUACAAACACAUGCUCUGGUCUGUUUCGGAGUGAUCUGUGGUCGUUUCGAAGUGCUCAGAACAUGUA